AACUUGCUGAAGAGUCCCAUACUAGGACGAAACGGCCGUCCAGUU
rnacentral:hammerhead_ribozyme from 1 species